rnacentral:rRNA from 1 species
AUUGAACGCUGGCGGCAGGCUUAACACAUGCAAGUCGAGCGGAGAUGAGGUGCUUGCACCUUAUCUUAGCGGCGGACGGGUGAGUAAUGCUUAGGAAUCUGCCUAUUAGUGGGGGACAACAUUCCGAAAGGAAUGCUAAUACCGCAUACGUCCUACGGGAGAAAGCAGGGGAUCUUCGGACCUUGCGCUAAUAGAUGGGCCUAAGUCGGAUUAGCUAGUUGGUGGGGUAAAGGCCUACCAAGGCGACGAUCUGUAGCGGGUCUGGGAGGAUGAUCCGCCACACUGGGACUGAGACACGGCCCAGACUCCCACGGGAGGCAGCAGUGGGGAAUAUUGGACAAUGGGGGGAACCCUGAUCCAGCCAUGCCGCGUGUGUGAAGAAGGCCUUAUGGUUGUAAAGCACUUUAAGCGAGGAGGAGGCUACUGAGACUAAUACUCUUGGAUAGUGGACGUUACUCGCAGAAUAAGCACCGGCUAACUCUGUGCCAGCAGCCGCCGCCGUAA